rnacentral:ncRNA from 1 species
AAUUUAAAGUUGUUCUGAGUCCAACGGCCUAAAGUUUACGACAAUGGUUUUUGGACCGAUAGGGUGAAACUGGAAACGGUUUUGCCUCCCAUUGUGGAAAGGAACCUCUCGAAAAAAGUU